rnacentral:misc_RNA from 1 species
GUGGAUCUCUGGAGUGCAGGUUGUAUACUAGCUGAGUUAUUAGCCAGAAAGCCAAUAAUGCCAGGUCGUACUGAGGUAGAGCAGCUACAUAAGAUAUACAAGUUAUGUGGUUCACCUUCAGAUGAGUACUGGAAAAAGUCAAAAUUGCCUAAUGCAACUUUAUUUAGACCUCGGGAGCCUUACAAAAGAUGCAUAAGAGAAACAUUUAAAGAUUUUUCACCAUCGUCACUUCCCCUCAUAGAAACUCUUCUUGCAAUUGAUCCAGCUGAACG